AUUGAACGCUGGCGGCAUGCUUUACACAUGCAAGUCGAACGGUAACAGGCCGCGAGGUGCUGACGAGUGGCGCACGGGUGAGUAAUGCAUCGGAACGUGCCCAGUCGUGGGGGAUAACUACUCGAAAGAGUAGCUAAUACCGCAUACGAUCUAUGGAUGAAAGCGGGGGACCGUAAGGCCUCGCGCGAUUGGAGCGGCCGAUGUCAGAUUAGGUAGUUGGUGGGGUAAAGGCUCACCAAGCCAACGAUCUGUAGCUGGUCUGAGAGGACGACCAGCCACACUGGGACUGAGACACGGCCCAGACUCCUACGGGAGGCAGCAGUGGGGAAUUUUGGACAAUGGGCGCAAGCCUGAUCCAGCAAUGCCGCGUGCAGGAAGAAGGCCUUCGGGUUGUAAACUGCUUUUGUACGGAACGAAACGGCUCUGGUUAAUACCCGGGGCUAAUGACGGUACCGUAAGAAUAAGCACCGGCUAACUACGUG
rnacentral:rRNA from 1 species